GACGAACGCUGGCGGCGUGCCUAAUACAUGCAAGUCGAACGCAGUGGGGACGGGUGAGUAACACGUGGGUAACCUCCCAUCAGAGGGGAUAACCCUUGGAAACAGGUGCUAAACCGAUACUGAUGGAUGGACCCGCGGGGCAUUAGCUAGUGGGUGGGGUAACGGCUCACCAAGGCCACGAUGCAUAGCCGACCUGAGAGGGGGAUCGGCCACACGGGGACUUAGACACGGCCCAGACUCCUACGGGAGGCAGCAGUGGGGAAUAUUGGGAAAUGGACGAAAGUCUGACCGAGCAAUGCCGCGUGAGUGAAGAAGGUUUUCGGAUCGUAAAGCACUGUUGGUAGAGAAGCGGUAUCUAACCAGAAAGCAACGGCUAACUACGUGCCAGCAGCCGCGGUAAUAC
rnacentral:rRNA from 1 species